UGGACAUGCAAUCUAGAGAUUAGACGUUCCCUUCGGGGACAUGGAUACAGGUGGUGCAUGGUUGUCGUCAGCUCGUGUCGUGAGAUGUUGGGUUAAGUCCCGCAACGAGCGCAACCCUUAUUAUCAGUUGCCAGCAUUAAGUUGGGCACUCUGGUGAGACUGCCGGUGACAAACCGGAGGAAGGUGGGGAUGACGUCAAAUCAUCAUGCCCCUUAUGACCUGGGCUACACACGUGCUACAAUGGAUGGUACAACGAGUUGCGAACUCGCGAGAGUAAGCUAAUCUCUUAAAGCCAUUCUCAGUUCGGAUUGUAGGCUGCAACUCGCCUACAUGAAGUCGGAAUCGCUAGUAAUCGCGGAUCAGCAUGCCGCGGUGAAUACGUUCCCGGGUCUUGUACACACCGAA
rnacentral:rRNA from 2 species